AUUGAACGCUGGCGGCAGGCCUAACACAUUCAAGUCGAGCGAGCGGCGGACGGGUGAGUAAUGUCUGGGAAACUGCCUGAUGGCGGGGGAUAACUACUGGAAACGGUAGCUAAUACCGCAUACCAUCAGAUUUGCCCAGAUGGGAUUAGCGAGUAGGUGGGGUAAUGCCUCACCUAGGCGACGAUCCCUAGCUGGUCUGAGAGGAUGACCAGCAACACUGGAACUGAGACAAGGUCCAGAAUCCUACGGGAGGCAGCAGUGGGGAAUAUUGGACAAUGGACGCAAGCCUGAUGCAGCCAUGCCGCGUGUGUGAAGAAGGCCUUAGGGUGGUAAGGCACUUGCAGUGGGGAGGCGUUACCCGCAGAAGAAGCACCGGCUAACGACGUGCCAGCAGCCGCGGUAAUAC
rnacentral:rRNA from 1 species